UACGUAGGCAGCAAGCGUUGUUCGGAGUUACUGGGCGUAAAGGGUGUGUAGGCGGUUGUUUAAGUUUGGUGUGAAAUCUCCCGGCUCAACCGGGAGGGUGCGCCGAAUACUGAGUGACUAGAGUGCAGUAGAGGCAAGCGGAAUUCCAGGUGUAGCGGUGAAAUGCGUAGAUAUCUGGAAGAACACCGGUGGCGCAAGCGGCUUGCUGGGCUGUAACUGACACUGAGGAACGAAAGCUAGGGUAGCGAAUGGG
rnacentral:rRNA from 1 species